rnacentral:siRNA from 1 species
UAGGGUCGGUAACAAGUCUUUA